UACAGAGGUUCCAAGCGUUGUUCGGAUUCACUGGGCGUAAAGGGUGCGUAGGCGGUUGGGUAAGUCUGAUGUGAAAUCUCACAGCUUAACUGUGAAACUGCAUUGGAUACUAUCCGGCUCGAGGAAUGGAGGGGAGACUGGAAUACUUGGUGUAGCAGUGAAAUGCGUAGAUAUCAAGUGGAACACCAGUGGCGAAGGCGAGUCUCUGGACAUUUCCUGACGCUGAGGCACGAAAGCCAGGGGAGCAAACGGG
rnacentral:rRNA from 1 species